ensembl:lncRNA
AGAAGCCAAAGGGAGUGACAUAUAAAGGGCAAGUAAUCAAGGAGGUGAUGGAGUCCAGGUGAGUGUCAUUAUGCUCCUACCGCUGGUGACAGGUGUGCGCCCUAACGAGCAGCCUGGUGACCUAGAGGCCAGAGAGGGAGCACACGUGACAUUGGUGUUACAUUGUUUACGGAAAACUCAUCUGUUUCAAAAGCAAAGUAUAAGUCAGACAAAUGCAUAACUGAUGACAAUGCAACUAGAAGAUAAAGAUUGUUUUGUGUGUUUGCAGGUUCAGUCCAAUCACCACAGAGAAUUACAAGAAGUCUUCAUGGCAACCAAUUUGUAAAAAAAAAAAAAAAAAAAACAAGUACCUAAGUGUAACGGAUGUGAAACGGCUAGCUUAGUUAGCGGUGCGCGCUAAAUAGCGUUUCAAUCGGUGACGUCACUUGCUCUGAGACCUUGUUGAUGUGUGCAGAGGGUCCCUGGUUCGCGCCCGGGGGAUCGCCUUACUAUGUGCUGGUCAACGUGCCUUGGGAGAAUGGGAGCGGCGAUGGUAUUUCUUGUAACAAAGACAGUUGUACGAAGCUCCCGGAGCCCGAAGAUGAUGUAGGCCUAUGGAUGUUGUGUCUUGUGACACUGAAAAUUAAAUAAAUUGUUGUUGCAUAAUGUUCUCUGAUUCCCAUGCUCCACUCCUUGAUUGAAAGAACCCGUGUUAUGUUUAUCUUAGUACCUCGCCUCGCUUCUUAAAAAGGUGGUGCGGCUGUGUCUACAGGAAUAUUAUGUUAAUUUCCCUGACGUCACAUCCGCAUUGCAUACUUACUCCCAUUCACAGAGAAUUUGUUAGUAGGACAUGACGUGAUCCAGCUUGUGUGUGUAAUAUAACUGCUUGACCUACCUUGCAGAACAUGGACUAGGACAUCUGCCAUUCAUUGUGGUAGGCUUGCUUGGGUCAUAGACUGAUUAACAUUAUUAACUAACUAUUACACAUUCAAUCACUUUGAAAAAAGAAUGCUGAGUCUAUAUCAAGCACUGUCUAAUAAGAUACUUUAUGCAAUUUUUGUACUACUCCACUAUUGUAAAAUAGGUUUUGGAAAUGC